rnacentral:rRNA from 1 species
GAUGAACGCUGGCGGCGUGCCUAACACAUGCAAGUCGAGCGAACGGACGAUAAGCUUGCUUCCUUGCUGUUAGCGGCGGACGGGUGAGUAACGCGUGGAUCACCUUCCUCUUUUUCUGGGAUAACUUCGGGAAACAGCAGCCACUACUGCAUAAUAUUUUGAACCGCAUGGUUCAAAAGUUCAUCACGGUUUUGCUGUCACUUUUAGAUGGUUCCGCGCUGGAUUAGCUAGUUGGUAAGGUAACGGCCUACCAAGGCGACGAUGCGUAGCUGAUCUGAGAGGAUGAUCGGCCACACUGGAACUGAGACACGGUCCAGACUCCUACGGGAGGCAGCAGUGGGGAAUCUUGGACAAUGGGCGCAAGCCUGAUGCAGCCACACCGCGUGAGUGAAGAAGGUCUUCGGAUCGUAAAGCUCUGUUAUUAGGGAAGAAAAGCUGUGGAUGUAUCUGUGGACAUCUUGACGGUACCUAAACAAAAAGCACCGGCUAACUUCGUG